AGUCGAACGGAUCACCGGCUUCGGUUGGUGGUUAGUGGCGAACGGGUGAGUAACACGUGAGCAACCUGCCCCUGACUCUGGGAUAACUCCGGGAAACCGGGGCUAAUACCGGAUACGACCCUGUGAGGCAUCUUGUGGGGUGGAAAGAUCUUUCGGUUGGGGAUGGGCUCGCGGCCUAUCAGCUUGUUGGUGGGGUGAUGGCCUACCAAGGCGACGACGGGUAGCCGGCCUGAGAGGGUGACCGGCCACACUGGGACUGAGACACGGCCCAGACUCCUACGGGAGGCAGCAGUGGGGAAUAUUGCGCAAUGGGCGGAAGCCUGACGCAGCGACGCCGCGUGAGGGAUGACGGCCUUCGGGUUGUAAACCUCUUUCAGCAGGGAAGAAGCGUGAGUGACGGUACCUGCAGAAGAAGCACCGGCUAACUACGUGCCAGCAGCCGCGGUAAUACGUAGGGUGCAAGCGUUGUCCGGAAUUAUUGGGCGUAAAGAGCUCGUAGGCGGUUUGUCGCGUCUGCUGUGAAAACUCGGGGCUCAACCCUGAGCUGGCAGUGGGUACGGGCAGACUUGAGUGCAGUAGGGGAGACUGGAAUUCCUGGUGUAGCGGUGAAAUGCGCAGAUAUCAGGAGGAACACCGGUGGCGAAGGCGGGUCUCUGGGCUGUUACUGACGCUGAGGAGCGAAAGCGUGGGGAGCGAACAGGAUUAGAUACCCUGGUAGUCCACGCCGUAAACGUUGGGCGCUAGGUGUGGGUCCCAUUCCACGGGGUCUGUGCCGCAGCUAACGCAUUAAGCGCCCCGCCUGGGGAGUACGGCCGCAAGGCUAAAACUCAAAGGAAUUGACGGGGCCCCGCACAAGCGGCGGAGCAUGCGGAUUAAUUCGAUGCAACGCGAAGAACCUUA
rnacentral:rRNA from 1 species